rnacentral:misc_RNA from 1 species
AGGUGAUUUGCAGAGCACUGUUCUUGCAAUGAGAGACUGUGCAUAUGAAGCUAGUGUUGCUCUAUCCGCUUUUGGUCGUGUAUCAAGGGGCCAUACUGCUUUGACUUCUGAAUCUGGCACCAUGCUUGAUGAGGUUCUUGCAAUAACUGAAGAUCUGCAUGAUGUUUAUAUAUUGGGAAAGGAGGCUUCUGCAGUACACCAUUCUCUUAUGGAGGAUCUUUCAAAGGCAAAUGCAAUCCUUCUUCCACUUGAAUCAGUAUUGUCUAAAGAUGUGACUGCCAUGACAGAUGCAAUGAAUAGAAAAAGAGGGAAGUACCCCAAAUUCAUGGAAAAGCCAUAUACCAAUCUUAUCGUGUGCGAAUUAGGGAGGCUAUUCAGACAUUUAUGCCCCUGGUACCAUCAUUUACAUUAUCCGUGAAGGGACUAUAUUUGAUACUGAUGAGGCUGGCACGAACUGCAAGUCUUCAUGCUGGCAAUCUCCAUAAGGCUCUUGAAGGACUAGCAGAAAGCCAGGAUGUAAAAUCACAGGGAAUUAGUUUGUCAAGGGCGGAUCUUGAUGGUGGUCCUAAUGAAUUUGAUGACAAGGGAAGUGAUAGACUCUCUACUUCUGAUGGUGGGAGCACUAAAGAUUUCCUUGGUGAUACUGGACUCUCUUUGCAAGAUAAAGGAUGGAUUUCUCCACCAGACAGCGUAUGCAGUGGCAGCUCAGAAUCUGGAAUUACUGAAGCAAGUCUUGUGGAUAGCUCCAGUGAUCUGGCAGAAGUAAUAGGACAAUUUUCACAUAGCAGGGUUGUGACAGACUGUCUUAAUUCUGCGCCAUCUUCUCAAGCUCAUUACCAGGAACUUUCACAAUCUGGUCAGUUAAUAUCCAAAUGUGAGGAGGUGAACAAUAGUGAUAAUAGUUAUGUUACAGGAGCUAGUGAGUUAAAUGAACACCGAAAAUCUGCGGCAUUAUCAAGUGGUGAAGCUGCAACUGCCCAUGUUGAGUCUUUGCUACCUCUGAAUGAGGACAACUCAACACUGAAAUAUGAUGUUAAAGAUGAUGGCAUAUCCUCAUUAAGCAAAGUUAAGAUUGAAGAUGAAAAUCUUGAAGCUUCGCAUCCUAAUUCUCACAUUGGGAACAGAGUGGCCAGAGGUAAAAAUGCAUAUGCUAUCUCAGUGCUAAGGCGAAUUGAGAUGAAAAUAGAUGGUCGAGAUAUUGCUGAAAACAGAGAAAUUAGUGUUGGAGAGCAAGUGGAUUAUCUAAUUAAGCAAGCAACGAGUGUAGAUAAUCUUUGCAACAUGUAUGAAGGUUGGACACCUUGGAUUUGAACUUGUGAAGUCUGUGCUUUCUUGACAGAUCCUGAAUUCUAUGCAAGAAUGUCUGAGCAUGGUGCUGCGACAAUGAAUGGCUAGACACUGGUCUAGAACAUUUUCCUAGCUCAAUUAAGCUUCGGGACAUAUUGCCUACAGCCCUAUCCAUCUGGUUUCAGGACAAUGAAGAGUCGAUAGCACUCUUUUGUCAGAAAUUGCAAUCAAUUAGUCAUGAGCGCUUUAAGGGGUACUAUCCUAGUGUCUCCACUUGACCAAUGCCAUCCCCGUUGAGGAAUCAGAGACAGAAGGGGCACAGGGCAUAUCCCAAGCCUGCACGAGACAUGUAGCAUCUUAACCAUGCAGCAGCAUAUGCAGUGUAGACAGGAAACAUUAUGCCCUGCAAAGAUUCAACAAUCUCGCCAUCUGCUUCCAAGAGGGGUUUCAACUUUAACAGUUCAAAACUCUGUAGAUGGCAACAAGUGAAUGCAGAAUUCCAUGCAUUCAAGAGAUUCUCCGGCUUGGUGCCAGUCAGAUUAGUCGGCAUUGAAUUAAUGCUUCCCCAGAAGCAGGCAUCGUGCAACCCAGACCACCAACAUCGCUAUUGUAUUCGGUGUUUA